UACAAAAUGAACGUAGUUAGGCACACUAGCAUGCAUUCAGGCUUGGUCUGAAGGUGGAUGUCAGGAUACAGGUGGCACUAAUUGGUAUUAAUAGCCCUGAACAGCCUCACCUGAGACCUCCACCCACACCCAUAGCCAAGUUCAGCUGUAGGACCUAUUUCAGUUCAGCCUGUAAGGUUGUUCUCUGGUUUGGGCCUAAUUGGAGGCUCUGCUGGGCUAUGACCCACAGUUUGGAAUUGGAAUGUGCUUUGUCACUGUAAGCUGACAAGAUUUGGGCCCUUGGUUGAACCUGGCUGCUGAGUCCUGCUCUGCUCUGCUACUGUGGGACAGGGAGCUGACAGCCUCUGCAAGGGAAGGACUUGGUCUGGAGAUCUGGGAUGCCAUGGGAGUCUUGCUACUGAUCUGGAUGUAGACCAAAGCUGGGAGAAGAAUAGAGUGUCAACAGAGAGACACAAAGCAGUGAAUCUUGUGAAGAUCAAGUGGCAAAAGGCUCUCUUCUAGGAGCAGCUGGGAGCUUUGGGGCAGAAUAAGAGAAUGAGCCGAAGCGUCUCAGUGGGCCACAGCCGUGUGAUGGGAAGGAAAAAUACAGAAGCCAGAGCGCAAGGCACUAGCAUCUCGCUUUGAUGUGUCAACGAACUGGAGAGAAGAAAGGACUUUUUGGAAUUCAUUAAUUCAUUCUCCAGAGCACUUAACCAG
ensembl:lncRNA